rnacentral:rRNA from 1 species
UGAGCAACCUGCCCUUGACCCUGGAAUAACAGCUGGAAACAGCUGCUAAUACCGGAUACGACCUCCGAUGGCAUCAUCUGGAGGUGGAAAGCUCCGACGGUCAAGGAUGGGCUCGCGGCCUAUCAGCUUGUUGGUGAGGUAACGGCUCACCAAGGCUUCGACGGGUAGCCGGCCUGAGAGGGCGACCGGCCACACUGGGACUGAGACACGGCCCAGACCUCCGUAGGGACGG